rnacentral:lncRNA from 1 species
CCAAAUUCCUAACCCUCAACUAGGUUUCAGUCCAUAAACUUACAGCAGCCGAACCACCACCAGAUUCGGUGGCCGACAGCGCCGACGACGGCCUGAACCUACCAACAGUGGAGAACUUUUCAGCCUUGAGAUCUCUUUUCAACUUCGAUUUCAACGAAGUGAGAGGAACCUUUGGCAUAUCUGCAAGAUAAGGCUCCCAUCGCUUUUUCUUUAAACAAAAUUGAUUUCUUUAUAUUUGAUUCGCCCUCUCUUUUAUUCGUUUUUCAUGCGAUAGAUCAAUCAAAAAAACAUAAACUAAAUCGGAAGAAAAAAACGAGAAUCACCUUGUGGAGACUUUUUUUUUAGAAAAGCUUUUUUGUAUUGAUUUUCCUUUUGUGUUUGUGUUCGCUCUUUUUUAUUUCCUGUUGUGUAUUCGUGAAAAAAAAUGCUUUCCUCUUCUUCUUCUUUUUUUACAAAGAUUAAAAGCUGGGCUUUUAUAGCCGAAAAAGGGAAUAAACCGAAAAAAUACAAUAUACUUGUUUCCAUUCGCUGCUGUUUUUGUUUCCUUCUUGCAGGUACAGAGUCUGUUGGCAUGUGUACCGGGUGCAGGCGUGGCGUACGAGGGCUGUGGAGGUAUGGGACUGCUAUAGUAGAGGUAUGGGGUUGUUUCUUGGUUGUGGCGCAAAACGAAAAGAGGGGGGACCUAAGGUUUCUAGAGCUGUUAAGGGAAUGGGCCUAUUGGGCUUGUUUCGAUUUGGGCUCAUGAUGGGUAUCGGGCUAGGGUUAAUGUAUUUGGGCUGCUUUGUACCAAAGACCUGAACUGUGGUAUACAUAUUUUUUUUGUAACACCCCUUACUCGUAUUCCGGCUCGGAACAGAGUAUGAGGUAUUACUAAGUUUUUUUAAAAAAAUUUCGACAGCAUUUCUGCUUAAUUUUGCUUAAACCUCCUGCAAAUUUAAAUCACAAUCCAAUAUAUAUAUAUCAACCAAACUCAUUUAUAAUAAUACUCACAAUUUAACUAUUAAUGAACACCACAUUUUAAAUCAAACCAUAACAUAUAUUUACAUGAUGAUUCCAUAUUUCAUAGGUCGUCUAUACAUGCCAUAAUUUCCGGAACGAUAGUAGCAAAAUACCCCAAGUGUGAAGGAUAGUGUGGAUGAUUGUCUGACUUCGUUCCAAAUUUUCGAGUUGUCGGAAGUCACUAUAAUCAAGGGAAAAAUAAAAUCGAGUAAGCAUAUAUCUUAGUAAGUAAACACAUGAUAAAUAAGUAAUUACUCACAUAACUACACCAAAAUAUAAACUUAUUCAUGAAUAACUUCAUUGUUUAGGCAAUUUCCAGCAAACUGUUUUUCUGCGUCAUAGUCGCUAAUUUAUUUUUAUCCGGAGCUACAGGGCUCCAAAUUGAGUUUCGUAAAUUUUCCCUGAAACUAGACUCAUAUACCAUUUCACCAUAAAAAUUUCAGAAUUUUUUACCCAGCCAAUUAGUACAGUUUAUUCAUUAAAACUUCCCCUGUUUCACUGCCCAACGGUUCUGACCCUUCCUCAAAAAAAUUCACUUAACUCUCUGUAAAAAAUUUUAAAAAUGGUUUCGCUUGUUUCUAUUAAAAAUAGAGUCAAUAAGGAAUCCAGGAAUAUAAAUUUCACACCAUAAUUAUUUUUGUACAAUUUUUGGUGAUUUUCCAAAGUUAGAACAAGGGAUCCCGAAAUCAAUCCAGCCCUGUUUCAGUAAAAUUCAGAUAUCUCCAAAAAUACAACUCUUUUGCUUAUUCUAUUUAUUUCAUAUGAAAAUAGACACAUUCAGCUUCAAUUUCAUAUAUUAUUCAGCUUCCCAUUCAUUUUCCACCAUUUAUGGUGAUUUUUCAAAGUUACCCAUCUGCUGUUGUUCAACACAGUUUAUAACUAAAUCGUUCCUUUUUUCGUUUUUGAUAUUUUCUCCCAUCUCAUACAUGGAUCGAUUUAGUAUCCAACUCAAUAUUUGCCCCAUAAAAAUUUCCACCAUAUGGAAAUAUUCACCUUCCACACUUUUUCAUUGAGCACUCGGAAUGUUAACCGUUAUUGGUGGAUCUCGCACUUAGCACCACCACUUAAUCGGGGAAUCAGCACUUAGCAACCCCUUGGGGGAAUCAGCACAUAGCAACCCCCUUUUUAUUUCAGAGAUACGGUGGAUAUCGCACUUAGCACCACCAAUGAACUGGGGAAUCAGCACUUAGCAACCCCUCGGGGGAAUCAGCACAUAGCAACCCCCUUUCACAUUUCAAAGAUACGGUGGAUAUCGCACAUAGCACCACCAAUGAAUCGGGGAACCAGCACACAGCAACCCCUUUAUGUACAACAUACUUCGGCUUAUUCCGAGUGUUCAACCCAUAAAUCAUAUAUUGCAACCCUUUACCACCUUUCCCGAUUUAACAACAUUUUUAGGAUAUGGCCAAACAUUUAUUUUAAUUCCAAAUAAAUCUCAACAUAUAUCAAUUAAUGUCAAAAUAAUACAUCAAGUCACGUGUUUACUUACCUCGGUGCAAAAUAUCGUAAUAUUGCACUUCACUCCACUAUCUUUUCUUUUCCUUGUUUGAGAUAAUCUUCACGUCUUUCUUGAUCUAUAAUAGCAAAUUUAACUCAUUUAAUGUUCACAUUCAUUAAAAUAGUCCACCACCCAACUUUUUGAAAAAUUACAAUUUUGCCUCCAAACUUUUGCAUAAUUACACUUUUGUCCCCAAGCUCGGAAAUUAAACUUCAUCACUUAUUCUUAGGUUUUAUGACAUGCUGAACAUUUUUCCCUUCUAUGGCAACAUCAAAUUCUCACUCUAACAUACACUUAUGAACAAUAAUUAUUUUUACCGAUUAUGCCUAUUUACCCGUUUUCGCUUGAAAUCGCUUAGCAAAAGUUGUUUAACAUAAUUUAUAGCUUCAUAUUCCACCAUAAAACAGCAAAAUAAACACAUUUCACCUAUGGGUAUUUUUCCAAAUAUGAGCCCUAACACGAAUUAUUGCUAGAAUAAGCUAAACCGAGUUACGAGGAUUCCAAAAAUGCGAAGAACAUUAAAAACGGGGCUAGGAUGCACUUACUAUGAGCUUGAGAAAGCAAAGAAACCUUAGCUAUGGCUUCCUUCAAAUUUCGGCAGCAACUAAUGAGGAAGAUGAUGAUUUUUGUCAUCUUUUUCCCAUUUUAUUUUAUUUUAUUACCAAAUGACUAAUAUGCCCCCACUUAAAAAAAAUCUAUUUCUCUCAUUUCUUAUGUCUAUUUUUGUCCAUCAACUAACUAAUGGUCUAAUUACCACAUAAAGACCUCCAAUUUAAAAUUUCAUAUCAAUUAGAUACUUCUACAUAUAGAACUCAACUUUUGCACUAUUUACAAUUUAGUCCUUUUGACUAAAUUGAGUGCCCAAACGUCGAAAUUUUCGAACGAAAUUUUUACGAAAAUUUUCCGUGAAAUUGUAGACCAUAAAAAUAUAAUAAUAACCAUAUUUUCCCUCGUCGAAUUUGUGGUCCCGAAACUACUAUUCCGACUAGGCCCAAAAUCGGGCUGUUACAACUCUCCCCCCUUAAGGAUUUUCGUCCCCGAAAAUCUUACCGGAAAAGAGAUUUGGGUACUGUUUCCUCAUAAUUUCCUCCGGUUCCCACGUAGCUUCCUCCAUCCCAUGUUUUUGCCACAGUACUUUUACUAAGGAUACACUUUUAUUCCUUAACUGCUUGACUUCCCGAGCCAAAAUCUUUAUUGGUUCUUCCUCAUAAGUCAUAUCUGGUCUGACCUCAAUCUCUGUAGGGGAAACUAUAUGUGAAGGAUCCGAACGGUAACGUCGCAACAUCGACACAUGAAACACAUUAUGUAUCUUUUCCAACUCCGGUGGUAAAGCUAACCGAUAUGCUACAGGGCCAACUCUCUCGGUAACUUCAUAUGGUCCAAUAAAUCGUGGACUUAGUUUGCCUUUACGACCAAAUCUCAGAAUCUUCUUCCAUGGAGACACCUUCAAGAACACCUUAUCACCUACUUGAAACUCAAUUUUUUUUCUCUUUAAAUCCGCAUACGACUUUUGCCGAUCUGAGGCAGCCUUUAAACAGUCACGAAUUAUUUUCACCUUUUCUUCAGUUUCUUUCACCAAGUCGACUCCAUGAAUCCGGUUCUCACCGAGCUCAGUCCAAUAUAAAGGAGUUCUACACUUACGCCCAUAUAAUGCUUCAUACGGUGCCAUUCGUAUACUUGACUGAUAGCUAUUGUUAUAAGCAAAUUCAACCAAUGGUAGAUAUUUCUCCCAACUGCCUUUCAAUUCUAAAAUACAACACCGGAGCAUAUCUUCAAGAAUUUGAAUCACUCUUUCCGAUUGCCCGUCAGUUUGCGGAUGAAACUCAGUACUGAAAUUCAAUUUUGUACCCAAGGCUUCCUGCAACUUUAUCCAAAACCUCGAAGUAAAUCUCGGAUCUCUAUCCGAUAUAAUAGAUUUAGGCACCCCAUGUAAUCUCACUAUUUCAGCAACAUAUAAUUCUGCCAACCUGUCAAGUGAGUAAUCAAUGCGUAUCGGAAUAAAAUGAGCCGACUUUGUCAAUCUAUCAACAAUUACCUAAAUAGCAUCUUUCUUCUUUGGAGUUAAAGGCAAUCCUGUCACAAAAUCCAUCGUAAUACUAUCCCACUUCCACUCUGGAAUCGUUAUCGGUUGAAGUAAACCCGAUGGUACUUGAUGCUCAGCCUUCACUUGUUGACAGAUUAAACACUUUGAUACAAAUUCCGAGAUAUCCUUUUUCAUGCCUGGCCACCAAUACAACUUCUUCAAAUCAUUAUACAUUUUCACACUACCCGGAUGAACUGACAAGUCACCACUAUGUGCCUCACAUAAAAUGGUCUGAAUUAACUCAUCAUUUCUUGGUACACAUACUCUAUCCCGGAACAUCAAGCAAUCAUCUGAACCAAUUUGAAAAUCUGAGUCAACACCUGCUUCACACUGAGCUCUCUUGGCUUGCAAUUUACUGUCAUUCUUUUGAGAUUCCCGAAUUUGCUGAAGAAAUAAUGGUCUAGCUCUCAAUUCAACCAACAUUGAGCCAUCAUCAGAUAAAGUUAACAUCGUACCCAUAGCUCUCAAAGCAAAUAAAGAUUUUCUGCUCAAGGCAUCAGCAACCACAUUAGCUUUCCCGGGGUGAUAAUCAAUCACUAGCUCAUAAUCUUUGAUUAGCUCGAGCCAUCUUCGUUGCCGCAAAUUCAAAUCUUUUUGGCUCAUCAAAUACUUCAAACUCUUAUGAUCAGUGAAGAUUCGGCACUUUUCACCAUACAAAUAAUGACGCCAAAUUUUUAAAGCAAAAACAAUGGCAGCCAAUUCUAAAUCAUGCGUCGGAUAAUUCUUCUCAUGCGAUUUCAAUUGUCUCGAAGCAUAAGCUAUUACUUUGCCCUCUUGCAUUAACACACACCCAAGACCAUUCAACGAUGCAUCACUGUAAAUUACAAACUCCUUCCCGGACUCAGGUUGCACCAACACUGGCGCCUCAGUCAAUAAUGCCUUCAACUUUUCAAAACUCUGUUGACAUUUAUUGGUCCAUUCAAACUUGACAUUCUUCUGCAGUAACUUAGUCAUAGGAGAAGCAAUCAUCGAAAAUCCCUUGACAAAGCGUCUGUAAUACCCAGCUAAGCCCAGAAAGCUUCUAACUUGUGUCACAUUCUUUGGUGGCUCCCAAUCAACAAUUGCUGAAAUUUUGCUUGGAUCAACCCGAAUACCUUCACUUGAAACUAUAUGUCCCAAGAAUCCAACCUCACGAAGCCAAAACUCACUUUUGCUGAAUUUAGCAUACAAUUUCUUUUCUCUCAGAAUCUGCAACACAGUUCUUAAAUGUUCUGCAUGCUCAGAUUCAUCCCGAGAAUAGAUUAAAAUAUCAUCUAUGAACACCACCACGAACUUAUCCAAGUACGGCCGAAAAAUUCGGUUCAUCAAGUCCAUAAAAAUAGCUGGAGCAUUUGUUAACCCAAAAGGCAUUACCAGAAAUUCAUAGUGUCCAUACCUUGUUCUAAAGGCGGUUUUCGGCACAUCAGACUCUUUAACUCUUAACUGAUAGUAACCAGACCUCAAAUCAAUCUUAGAAAACACUGUUGCCCCUUUUAAUUGAUCAAAUAAAUCAUCAAUUCUCGGCAAAGGAUACUUGUUCUUUAUAGUCACCUUGUUGAGCUGACGAUAGUCAAUACAAAGUCUCAUAGAGCCGUCCUUUUUUUUUCACAAAUAACACAGGAGCACCCCAAGGAGAAAAACUCGGUCUCACAAAUCCUUUAUCUGUCAACUCUUGUAACUGAGCUUUUAAUUCCUUCAACUCAGUCGGAGCCAUUCGAUACGGUGCAAUAGAAAUCGGUGCAGUACCAGGUAACAGAUCAAUAGAAAACUCAACUUCUCUAAUCGGAGGUAACCCAGGCAAUUCCUCUGGAAAUACAUCUGGAAAUUCACAAACUACCGGCACUGAUUCAAGCUUUGACCCAGUAAUAUCCGUGUUCAGCACAUAAGCAAGAUAAACUUCACAUCCCUUUCUCAAGUAUUUCUGAGCAGACAUGUGCGAAAUCACCAUAGGCAACUUAUUCGGCUCCUUUGUUUCAACCCGGAGAAUUUCACCGUUUUCACAAUUUAAUUCAAGAAUUUUCUGUCUACAAUUUACCUUGGCAUCAUGCAAUAUCAACCAAUCCAUCCCCAAAAUAACAUCAAACUCAUCAAAUGGUAACAACAUCAAAUUAGCCGGGAAACAGUGACCUUGAAUCAUCAGGGGACAAUUCUUGCAAACCUUAUCGACUAAGACAUAUUUGCCUAAAGGAUUUGAUACUUUAACUACAAAUUCAGUGUUUUCAACAGGCAAUUUCUUACUAGACACCAAAUUCAUGCAUAUAUAUGAAUGAGUAGAGCCGGGAUCAAUCAAAGUAAUAACAUCAAUAUCAUGAAGAGAAAAUGUACCAGUAAUCACAUCGGGAGAUGAGGCAUCCUCUCGAGCGCGUAUAGCAUAAGUCCUGGCAGGCGCUCUAGUUUUUGAUCCUCCAGCUGCAUAUUUUAUCACACUCUUACCACUGGCUUUGCUUCCCACAUUUCUCGGUGGUCUGCCUCUACUGACAACAUCACCCGAUCCAGCUCUUUGUAAUCUUUCUUCUUCUAUUCUCUCAGGGCAGUCUUUUACAUAAUGCUCUUGGGAACCACAUCUGAAACAAGCUCGUUUAAAUCCCCAACACUCACCAGUAUGUCGCCUGCCACACUGUUGACAUUCAGGUCUGGUGUUUCCUACAUUACCCACACUUGCCACUGAGGUAGCUCGAGUUGUAGUUCCGGAAUAUGACCUCCCUCGGUCUCUGCGUGAAUACCCAACUGAACCGGUUGGUCGUGGAUCCAUCCCUUUAAACUUCUUCGGGUGAGAUUGAAAUGUUCUGCCCAUUGACCUCUUCCUUACAUCUCGAGCUUCCAUCUCUGCCCUUCUCUUUUCUCUACUCAGCUCUUCAGCUUUGCAAGCACGAUCAACUAAUACCAGAAAUUCUUUUAACUCUAAAAUUCCAACAUGUAAUCUGAUGUCUUCAUUUAGCCCCUCUUCAAAUCUUUUACACAUAAUAGCCUCCGUAGGAACACAUUCCUGGGCAUAUUUACUAAGCCGGACAAACUCCCGUUCAUAUUCUGCUACUGACAUUCGGCCCUGUUUCAAUCCGAGAAACUCUUUGCGCUUCUGAUCAAUAAACCGUUGGCUUACAUAUUUCUUUCUGAAUUCUUCCUGAAAGAAGUCCCAAGUAACUCUUUCUUUUGGAACCACCGUUAUUAAUGUUUUCCACCAACGGUAUGCCGAAUCCUUCAAUAAAGACACAGCACAUUUCAAACAUUCCUCAGGAGUACAAGAUAAUUCAUCAAAUACCUGGAUAGUAUUUUCAAGCCAAAACUCGGCUUUUUCCGGAUCAUCAUCAACAUUGGCCCUGAAAUCUUCAGCCCCAUGCUUUCGAAUUCUAUCAACGGGUGGUUUACUUGAUCUCACCAAUUCAGCACUUCGUGGAGCUACGGGGACCGGCGGAGGAAUAGGAGGGGGUGGAGGAGGUGGAACAUUCGGAUUUACACGGACAUAUUCUGUAUACCAAUCACUCAUCAUUCGGAGGAAGGCUUCUCGAGCCUCAUCCUGUCCAUGUGUCUCAUGUCUACUCUCUUCAUGCGCGGUUCCUUGUGCGGGAACCGGCGUGUUACUUUCAACAUCAUCUGCCAUACUUCGAUUAGGAUCCAUUUACUAUAUAAAACAAAAUUUUAAAUUGUCAGAAAUCAUCACACUAUCACAAUAUAUUGAUGGCAUGUAUAGACUGACUUUCACACAUAUUUUAUUGGUCCGAGAACCGAAUAAACCGUAGCUCUGAUACCACUAAAAUGUAACACCCCUUACUCGUAUUCCGGCUCGGAACAGAGUAUGAGGUAUUACUAAGUUUUUUUAAAAAAAUUUCGACAGCAUUUCUGCUUAAUUUUGCUUAAACCUCCUGCAAAUUUAAAUCACAAUCCAAUAUAUAUAUAUCAACCAAACUCAUUUAUAAUAAUACUCACAAUUUAACUAUUAAUGAACACCACAUUUUAAAUCAAACCAUAACAUAUAUUUACAUGAUGAUUCCAUAUUUCAUAGGUCGUCUAUACAUGCCAUAAUUUUUCGGAACGAUAGUAGCAAAAUACCCCAAGUGUGAAGGAUAGUGUGGAUGAUUGUCUGACUUCGUUCCAAAUUUCCGAGUUGUCGGAAGUUACUAUAAUCAAGGGAAAAAUAAAAUCGAGUAAGCAUAUAUCUUAGUAAGUAAACACAUGAUAAAUAAGUAAUUACUCACAUAACUACACCAAAAUAUAAACUUAUUCAUGAAUAACUUCAUUGUUUAGGCAAUUUCCAGCAAACUGUUUUUCUGCGUCAUAGUCGCUAAUUUAUUUUUAUCCGGAGCUACAGGGCUCCAAAUUGAGUUUCGUAAAUUUUCCCUGAAACUAGACUCAUAUACCAUUUCACCAUAAAAAUUUCAGAAUUUUUUACCCAGCCAAUUAGUACAGUUUAUUCAUUAAAACUUCCCCUGUUUCACUGCCCAACGGUUCUGAACCUUCCUCAAAAAAAUUCACUUAACUCUCUGUAAAAAAUUUUAAAAAUGGUUUCGCUUGUUUCUAUUAAAAAUAGAGUCAAUAAGGAAUCCAGGAAUAUAAAUUUCACACCAUAAUUAUUUUUGUACAAUUUUUGGUGAUUUUCCAAAGUUAGAACAGGGGAUCCCGAAAUCAAUCCAGCCCUGUUUCAGUAAAAUUCAGAUAUCUCCAAAAAUACAACUCUUUUGCUUAUUCUAUUUAUUUCAUAUGAAAAUAGACACAUUCAGCUUCAAUUUCAUAUAUUAUUUAGCUUCCCAUUCAUUUUCCACCAUUUAUGGUGAUUUUUCAAAGUUACCCAUCUGCUGUUGUUCAACACAGUUUAUAACUAAAUCGUUCCUUUUUUCGUUUUUGAUAUUUUCUCCCAUCUCAUACAUGGAUCGAUUUAGUAUCCAACUCAAUAUUUGCCCCAUAAAAAUUUCCACCAUAUGGAAAUAUUCACCUUCCACACUUUUUCAUUGAGCACUCGGAAUGUUAACCGUUAUUGGUGGAUCUCGCACUUAGCACCACCACUUAAUCGGGGAAUCAGCACUUAGCAACCCCUUGGGGGAAUCAGCACAUAGCAACCCCCUUUUUAUUUCAGAGAUACGGUGGAUAUCGCACUUAGCACCACCAAUGAACUGGGGAAUCAGCACUUAGCAACCCCUCGGGGGAAUCAGCACAUAGCAACCCCCUUUCACAUUUCAAAGAUACGGUGGAUAUCGCACAUAGCACCACCAAUGAAUCGGGGAACCAGCACACAGCAACCCCUUUAUGUACAACAUACUUCGGCUUAUUCCGAGUGUUCAACCCAUAAAUCAUAUAUUGCAACCCUUUACCACCUUUCCCGAUUUAACAACAUUUUUAGGAUAUGGCCAAACAUUUAUUUUAAUUCCAAAUAAAUCUCAACAUAUAUCAAUUAAUGUCAAAAUAAUACAUCAAGUCACGUGUUUACUUACCUCGGUGCAAAAUAUCGUAAUAUUGCACUUCACUCCACUAUCUUUUCUUUUCCUUGUUUGAGAUAAUCUUCACGUCUUUCUUGAUCUAUAAUAGCAAAUUUAACUCAUUUAAUGUUCACAUUCAUUAAAAUAGUCCACCACCCAACUUUUUGAAAAAUUACAAUUUUGCCCCCAAACUUUUGCAUAAUUACACUUUUGUCCCCAAGCUCGGAAAUUAAACUUCAUCACUUAUUCUUAGGUUUUAUGACAUGCUGAACAUUUUUCCCUUCUAUGGCAACAUCAAAUUCUCACUCUAACAUACACUUAUGAACAAUAAUUAUUUUUACCGAUUAUGCCUAUUUACCCGUUUUCGCUUGAAAUCGCUUAGCAAAAGUUAUUUAACAUAAUUUAUAGCUUCAUAUUCCACCAUAAAACAGCAAAAUAAACACAUUUCACCUAUGGGUAUUUUUCCAAAUAUGAGCCCUAACACGAAUUAUUGCUAGAAUAAGCUAAACCGAGUUACGAGGAUUCCAAAAAUGCGAAGAACAUUAAAAACGGGGCUAGGAUGCACUUACUAUGAGCUUGAGAAAGCAAAGAAACCUUAGCUAUGGCUUCCUUCAAAUUUCGGCAGCAACUAAUGAGGAAGAUGAUGAUUUUUGUCAUCUUUUUCCCAUUUUAUUUUAUUUUAUUACCAAAUGACUAAUAUGCCCCCACUUAAAAAAAAUCUAUUUCUCUCAUUUCUUAUGUCUAUUUUUGUCCAUCAACUAACUAAUGGUCUAAUUACCACAUAAAGACCUCCAAUUUAAAAUUUCAUAUCAAUUAGAUACUUCUACAUAUAGAACUCAACUUUUGCACUAUUUACAAUUUAGUCCUUUUGACUAAAUUGAGUGCCCAAACGUCGAAAUUUUCGAACGAAAUUUUUACGAAAAUUUUCCGUGAAAUUGUAGACCAUAAAAAUAUAAUAAUAACCAUAUUUUCCCUCGUCGGAUUUGUGGUCCCGAAACUACUAUUUCGACUAGGCCCAAAAUCGGGCUGUUACAUUUUUAUGAUUUUUUUUUUUGUAUUUUCGUUUUGUUUCUUGUCUUUAUACGGGCCGGGCAAAUUUGGCCCAUUACAGCUGCCCCUCUUUGCUCAUUUUCGUGUAACGAAAAUAGAGUAAAGACUAUAAAUGGGCCAAUUUUGCCGGGAUCUAUUGAGUCUCGACUUCUUGGUACUUCUUUUUUCAAGAAGCUUAAAUAUGCUCCACUGCAACUUCAGGGAGACAUGGUUCACGUGUUUUUUAUCCUGCUCUAUUGCAACUUCAAAGAGACAAGGAUCGUGAUUUUAAUAUUGCUCCAUUGCAACUUCAGGGAGACGAGAUCCUGUAAUCUUCGGCCUGUUGCCCUACUACUUAGGGUGUUAAGGCUUGUUUUCUUUGAUCUGCUCCACUGGAGACGAGGUCUGCAAUCUUGGGUCUACUCCACUACAACUUUAGGGAGCUAGGGUGGUGACUUAAAUCUGUUUCGCUGCAACAUCAGGAAACCUAGAUCCGCCGUCUUCGAUCUGCUCCACUUUAAUUUCAGAUCUACAAUCUUCAACCUACUCCAUUACAACUUUAGGGAGCUAGGAUGGUGGCUUAAAUCUGCUUCACUGCAAUAUCAGGAAGCCUAGAUCCACUGUCUUCGAUCUGCUCCACUACAAUCUCAGGGAAACAAGAUCUACAAUCUUCAACCUACUCCACUACAACUUUAGGGAGCUAGGAUGGUGGCUUAAAUCUGCUUCGUUGCAACAUCAGGAAACCUAGAUUCGCCGUCUUCGAUCUGCUCCACUGCAAUCUCAGAGAAACAAGAUCUACAAUCUUCAGCCUACUCCACUACAACUUUAGGGAGCUAGGAUAGUGGCUUAAAUCUGCUUCGCUGCAACAUCAGGAAACCUAGAUUCGUCGUCUUCGAUCUGAUCCACUACAACCUCAGGGAAACAAGAUCUACAAACUUCAGCCUACUCCACGACAACUUUAGGGAGCUAGGAUGGUGUCUUAAAUCUGCUUCGCUACAACAUCAAGAAACCUAGAUUCUUCGUUUCGGUCUGCUCCACUGCAAUCUUAGGGAAACAAGAUCUACAAUUUUUAGCUUGUUGCCCCACUUCUUAGGGGGUUAAGACUUGUGAAUUCACCGAUUCCACUGCACUGUCCUUUGAGGAACAUGAUCUAUAAAAUUAAUUUCAUGUAUCUAUGCUUAUGCCAAAUAAUUAAGAUGCUAUGAUUGAAAUAAAUCAAAUGCUCCUAACUAAAUGUGAUGAUUUAUGUCAAUUAAUUAGGAUGUUAUGAUUGAAAUGAAUCAAAUGCUCCUAACUAGAUGUGUCAUUAUAUGAAUGCAGAAAUGUCAUGAGAAUGAUUUCUUUUUAAAUGUUUAAGGUAUCGUUGCUCAUAGUUUACCCGAGUUCUAUCAUUGAUGCACUAUCGCCUCUUGCUGUUUUGUCGUUAUCUUUGAUAGAAGAUUCAAAGAAAUAGUCACAACUUGGACUAUUCUUUUUCCAAUGUUUCCCACUUUUGAGUCUGGUUAAUUCUGCCUAGUGGCCCUAUUUCAGGUCCUUGUACUAUUUAGAAACUUUCUAGAGUAAUAUGCGUAACCUUUUUUUUAUGUGAAUGUUAUAAGUCCAAAAAUUGUGAUUUCAAAAAAAUGCUCAAAAGAGAUUAUCAUAAUGGACAAGAUGGAAUUUUAUUGAGCAAAACUUGAAGUGAAUACAUUAAACAGGAUAGCAAAUCUGGUAAGGCUCAAAAUAAAAUGAGGAAAAAGGUGCCUCAGAUAUCGCAGCACGAGCUUCACUAUUUAAUUUCUCAAAGACUCAUUCGAGCUAAAUGUGUGCUUCAGAGAUCAAACGCAUUUUGUUGAUACCCCAAGGUAUACUGUUCUCCCCUCUUAUUGAUUUUGGGAGGGCAAGACUACCAUAUAUCCCACAUUCAAAAUUUGAGCUACCCGUUUACGGGUUUUCAACUCAAAAACCUUUUAGUCUCAAAGUGCCCUUUGCGGGUUUUUACCUUGGCCUCUCCAAAAUUUUUUUGUUUUUUUUUUAAAAGCGCCCUUUGCGGGUUUUCACCUUAGCCUCUUCUUCUUUAAGUGAAAUACUUCUUGACAAAAUCCGAAUUUACAGGAUUGGGCAAGUUUCUACCAUCCAUCUCGGCUAGAAUCAAUGCUCCUCCGGAGAAAGCUUUCUUCACCACGUAAGGCCCCUCCCAAUUAGGCAUCCAUUUUCCUCAAAAAUCUUUCUGUAUGGGAAUGAUCUUUUUCAAAACUAGGUCUCCCUUGUGGAAUUUUCUAGGGUGAACAUUUUUGUCAUAAGCCCGCACCAUUCGUUUUUGGUACAUCUGACCAUGACGGAUAGCUCUUAGCCUCUUUUCCUUAAUCAAGUUCAAUUGAUCGUAUCGAGACUGGAUCCAUUCUACUUCGUCUAACUUUAACUCUGAAAACACUCAAAGAGACGGGAUCUCAACUUCGAUUGGCAACACCACUUCCAUUCCGUAGACCAAGGAGAAAGGGGUUGCCCAGUUGAGGUUCUGACUGACGUUCGAUAAGCAAAGAGGGCAAAUGGUAACUUCUCAUGCCAGUCUCUGUAGGUUUCGGUCAUUUUCCCCACAAUUUUCUUAAUGUUUUUAUUGGCCGCUUCCACUGCCCCAUUCAUCUUUGGGCGAUAUGGUGACGAGUUGUGAUGUCUGAUCUUGAAUUGACUGCAAACUUCCGCUAUCGUACUAUUGUUCAAGUUUAAUGCAUUUUCAGAUAUAAUCCUCUCCGACUUUCCAUAUCGACAUAUGAUCUCCUUUUUCAGAAACUUGCUCACUGCCGACUUUGUCACACUAGCAUACGAAGCGGCUUCUACCCAUUUGGUGAAGUAGUCAAUAACCACAAAGAUGAACCGAUGCCCAUUGGAAGCUUUCGGCGAUAUUGGUCCAAUCACAUCUAUGCCCCACAUCGAGAAUGGCCAUGGAGUAACCAUGACAUGCAGCGGUGAAGUAGGCACAUGAAUUUUGUCCCCGUAGAUUUGGCAUUUAUGACAUCUCUUGGCGUAAUUGACACAGUCUCCUUCCAUGGUGGACCAAUAGUACCCGAAUCUCAUAAUUUGCCUGGAAAUUGUAAAGCCAUUAGCAUGCGUCCCACAGACGCCUUCAUGGACUUCUUCCAAGAUUUUCUGAGCUUCUACGGUGUAUACACAUCUUAGUAGCACUUGAUCUUUUCUUCUUUUGUAUAAUAUAUCCCCAUCUAAGACAUAGUCGAUGGCCAGUCUUCUUAGAGUUCUUUUGUCAUUCUCACAUGCCUGGUCCAGGUAUUCACGAUUCUUCACGUAUUGCAAUAUAUCGUGAUACCAAGGGUGAUCAUCUCUCUCUUUAUUUUCUUCAAUAUUGUAACAGUGGGCUGGAAUUUUAUAAAUACUCAUCCGGAUGGGUUUGACAUCUUCUUGUUUGUUCACCUUGAUUAUGGAAGCUAAGGUAACCAAAGCAUCAGCCAUCUGAUUUUCAUCUCGUGGAAGGUAGUGGAAGGUAAUGUCAUCAAACUCUUUAACCAAUUCAAGGACCAGUUUUCGAUAGUCGAUCAACUUGGGGUCUCUAGUCACCCAUUCUCCAUUGAGUUGAUAAAUCACUAGCGCGGAAUCCUCAUACACCUCUAGCACCUUAAUCUUGCGUUCUAUGGCUGCAUGGACUCUUAUGAUGCAUGCCUCGUAUUCUACCAUGUUAUUCGUACAAUCAAAAUCCAAUUUACUAGUGAAUGGAUAAUGAUCUCCAUUUGGGGACACUAAGACGGCCCCGAUUCCAUUACCCACAGUGUUUGACGCCACAUCGAAAUUCAAUUUCCAAGGAAGUUCUUCGAGAGCACAUUUUUCAGUGGUAGCAACACACAUUAGGUCUUCAUUCGGGAAGUCGAAGUUCAAAGGCUCGUAGUCUUCCAAAGCUCUACUGGCUAGAAAAUCUGCUAUUACACUUCCUUUUACUGCUUUCUAGUUCAUAUAGACUAUGUCGAAUUCAGAAAGCAGAAUCUGCCAUUGAGCCAUCCUUCCAUUCAAAGCUGUUGACUCCAUCAUGUACUUUAAAGGAUCCAAUUUUGAGAUGAGCCAAGUGGUGUGAUACAACAUAUACUGCCUCAGCCUUCGGGUUGUCCAAAUUAGGGCAUAACACAGUUUCUCUAUCGGCGGAUACCUUACCUCACAUUCCGUGAACUUUUUACUAAGGUAGUAAAUAGCAUUUUCUUUCCUUCCUGACUCAUCAUGCUGACCCAAUACGCAUCCCAUGGAAUUCUCAAGUACUGUCAAAUACAGUAUCAAUGGCUUAUCGGGGUUAGGUGGCAUUAGCACCGGAGCGUUGGAUAAGUACUGUUUAACCUUGUCAAAAGCCCUUUGGCAUUCUUCAUCCCAUUGACCCGGGUUGUGUUUCUUGAGGAGGCGAAAGACCGGGUCACAUUUCUUAGUUAAUUGUGAAAUGAACUGAGCAAUGUAAUUUAAUCUUCCUAGAAAGCCUCGAACCUCUUUUGAGUACACGAAAGAGAUAGCUCUUGUAUGGCUUUAACUUUGUCUGGAUCGAUCUCGAUCCCUUUCUCACUGACCACGAAUCUGAGCAACUUUCCAGACUUGGCUCCAAAGGUACAUUUGGCAAGGUUGAGUUUUAGCUGAAACUUUCUCAACCUCAAGAACAAUUUCCUCAAGGCUUGUAUGUGAUCAUUCUCUGUUCGAGACUUUGCGAGCAUAUCAUCGACAUAAACCUCAAUCUCUUUAUGCAUCAUGUCAUAAAAAAAGGUUACCAUGGCUCUUUGAUAGGUAGCCCCCGCAUUUUUUAGUCCAAAUGGCAUUACUUUGUAGCAGAACGUCCCCCACAUGGUCACAAAUGUGGUCUUCUCCAUAUUUUUAGGAUGCAUCUUAAUCUGGUUAUAUCCAGAGAAACCGUCCAUGAACGAAAACAGUGGGUGUCUCGCCGUGUUAUCCACCAGGGUGUCAAUGUGAGGCAGUGGGAAAUUGUCCUUCGGGUUGGCUUUGUUCAAAUCCCUGUAAUCCACACACAUUCGCACUUUUCCAUCCUUCUUAGGGACUGGAACGAUGUUGGGUACCCAAUCUGAGUAUUUUACCACCUUCAGGAAUCCAGCGUCGAACUGUUUCUGAACCUCCUCUUUUAUUUUUAGCAAGAUGUCAGGCCUCAUUCUUCGGAGUUUUUGCUGAACUGGCUUACAUUCCUUCUUUAUGGGGAUUCGGUGCACCACGAUAUUAGUGUCCAACCCAGGCAUAUCUUGGUAUGACCAUGCGAAGACAUCUUUGAAUUCCUGAAGUAAUUCAAUGAGGUCUCGCUUCAUUUCUAUGGUGGUACAUGUUCCGAUCUUCACCCCUUGCCCCUCUCCUAAGCUCACAAUUUCAACUGAUUCUUUGUAAGGUAGGAUUUGUUUCUCGUCUUGUUCUAUCAUUCUCAACAAAUCGGGAGAUAGGUUGCAACCUUGGUCAUCUUCAAAAUCUUGAGAAUCCUCCAUACACACAUUUCACUCAAAAGGAAACUCUGAGUUGCUAGUAGUGUCACUCAUAUCAUUGAUAUCUGGGGACCUGUUACGAGGAUGAAGGCAGAUACAAUGAAUCAAAAGAAUUCGAAACAUUUAUUUGUAUGGUAUGAUUAUGAAUGAUGAAUGAAAGAAUAUUUAGAAAAAAUGUUUCGAGAAUAAAAUAAUCUGAAAGUAAUCAUUUGUAUGAUUAUGAAUGAAAUUGAAAGGAUGAUAAUAACCGUGUAUUUUAUUGAAAUAACGUUUUUUAAACAUCAGCCUCUUUCACAAAAGAUUCUUAUUACUCCUAGGCCUAGAGCAAUAAGUAUGUUUUGGACAUUACUUUGAAUCAGUUCUAAAAACUACAGGAAUCUUUUCCGCAGUCCAGUUGUCCAGAACACUUCAAAAUGUGUAAGGGCAAAUGCCCAACAAAUUUUCUCUCCCAGUCUCUUCUUCGUAUGUGGCGUUGAUGUCCAAGCUUUCCAGCCUUUCUUCUAUGGUUUCCUUUCUGGGCGUACCCCGCUCGGGAUGAAUGAUUCCUCUGGACACAAAGGUUUUCGAUAUGUGGGGGAAUAUUAUUGGUUCCCAUUUGAUUUCUCCACCGGUCAACCGUGCUCUCCUUUUUUCUUACUUCUUUUCUAGCUCUCUUCUCCUUUGUUUCGCAUCUGGCUUGAAUCCUAAGCCGAAGCGGUCUCUCUUGUCCUUCAGCAUUAGCGUUUCAACCUUUCCUUGUAGAUAUCUCCCAAGUCCUCUUCCGGGUAGGGCUCCUUUUCCAAUCGUCAACUGGAGGCUCAUCCUCGUGGUUUUAAACAAUUUUGGCACCAGAAUCUUGCUUCCCUCGGCGAUGAAGGUUGCAUUAACAAAUUCUAAAGAUCGAAAUGAACAUUCGAUUGCUUCAUCAUCUGUCUCCAAAUAGGGCGCAUUAUUGCUCACAGUUGCAAUGAUAUCCUCUUCAGCAUUGAUCGUUAUCAACCUCCCAUCUAAUACCAGCUUCAACUUUUGAUGCAACGAGGAAGGCACUGCCCCAGCUGAAUGUAUCCAGGGCCUCCCCAAUAAGCAAUUAUAUGAGGGCUUGAUAUCCAUUACUAGGAAAUCCACCUCAUAUAUGUUUGGCCCAAUCUGAAGAGGUACCUCGAUUUUGCCCAUCACCUUUCUCUCCGUGCCGUCAAAUGCUUUCACUAUGUUCUGGCACUCCUUCAUGUGAGAGCUGUCUAUAGGUAAUCUGUUUAGUGUGGUCAAUGGCAGGACAUUCAAAGCCGAUCCGUUGUCAAUCAGUACGCCUGGCAGCGUAUACCCUUUACAGCGCGUGGUAAUGUGUAGUGCUUUAGUCGACCCCAUGCCACCGGGUGGUAUUUCAUCGUCAUUCAAGAAGAUAUAGUUGUCGACACUUAUGUUACUAACCAAACGAUCCAGUUUGUUAACGGAGAUAUCAUUGACAACAUAUGUUUCAUUCAAGACCUUCAUUAGCGCGCUACGAUGAACUAAUGAGCUUAGAAGUAAAGCCAGUACUGAGAUACGAGCUGGUUGUUUACGUAGUUGUUCUACCACGCUGUAUUCACUAUGCUUUAGGAGUUUUAAAAACUCUUUAGCCUCUUCUUCGUUAACUAGCUCAUCGACAAGAAGUUCAGAUUUCGUCAUUUUUUCCUUCACCCCUUCGACCACUAGGGCUUUUCCUUUUACGGGUUGUGCCUUCUCACUCGCUGCAUCGUAACGUCUUCUACUACGUGUAUAGGAGCCCUUAUCUUGGUCUUUUUUUAAAAUGUCAACCAGGUCUUCCUUCCCCGAAAUUGUCACAUUACAAUCAUAAUAUCAUGGGACCCUUUUACUAUCUUUGUAGGGGAAGACUGCAGGUCUUUGGAUUAUGACCCUUAGUGGUAGUUGAACUCUAGCUUCAUUAUUUUUGGGUCUCAAUAUGAUAACCACGGGGUAGUUAACUGUUUGAUUUUGUGCCAUCGACUCUCCCUCCGACGCACAUAUGUCUCCCUCUACAGGGUUUUUAGUCUCUUCAUAGAAUUCUAUUUCCUUAUUGUUUAUCAUGUUCUGCACUAGGGCCCUGAACUUGACACACUCUUAGAUUUCAUGCCCCACCUCGUUGUGGAACUCGUAGUAGUUCCUCUCUUCUUUGGAUUUUCUUCCCAAAUCCAAUGCGAUCAAACCUCUCUUGACCAUCUCCCUCCACACUUAUCUCAACGGAGUCCUGAUUUUCGCAACCUCACACUUAAUCUUCUUAUUUUUGCCUUCGAUUAUCAUGUUCACUCCUUGGUCGGUGUGAUUAGGGAGUGGGUUUCCUGCUACAUUGGGCGUGGCUGGGUCAUCAAAUCUCACGAUUCCCACCUUAAUGAGUCUUUUAACCACUUUCUUGAACGCAGUGUAAUUUUUGAUUGAAUGCCCGGUAAUACCUGCGUGGUAUUCACAUUGGGCAUUUGUGUCAUACCAUUUAGGAUACGGGGGUUGCACUGGCUCAAGGUAGAAAGGUGAUACCACAUGAGCGUUGAACAGGUUCUGGUACAACUCCUUAUGCGUCAUUGGUAUAGGGGUGAAUUGUGGCCUUUCUGUGUUCUUCCUUGCAUUGGAUUCUUGUCUUGCAAGGCUUUGUUGAUUGGUGGUCAUCAUUUUGAGUUGAUUUACGGUAAAUGAUUUGGGCUGCCCCUUGUUGAAUGUGCUCGUGUUGUUCACUUCAUUGUCCUUUUUCCUCGGGGCUGACUUCCUAGCACUCUCUCCCGAUUCUAUCUUACCGCUCUUUACAGCGUUUUUGAUCAUUUCUCCCAUCAUCACUAUGUCAGAGAAGCUCUUGGUGGUGCUUCCCAACAUAUGAGUGAUAAAAGGGGCUUUCAAGGUGUUAAUAAAGAGCAUUGUUGUCUCUUUUUCUAGAAGUGGUGGCUGAGCUUGUAUGGCCAUCUCUCUCCACCUUUGUGCAUACUGUCUGAAGCUUUCAUUUGACUUUUUCUCCAUAUUCUGGAGAGUGAUCUUGUCGGGGGUCAUGUCCGUCACAUGAUUGUAUUACUUCAUAAAGGCCUGAGCCAGGUCUUUCCAUGAGUUAAUCUUGGCUCGGCUCAGUUGAUUGUACCACUUAGACGCCGCUCUAACCAGACUAUCUUGAAAGCAGUGGAUUAGUAACUGGUCAUUGUUAAGAUAUCUCGUCAUUCGCCUGCAGAAUAUGGUGAUGUAGGCUUCAUGGCAGCUUGUUCCAUUGUAUUUCUCGAAUUCAGGCAUUUUGAAUUUAGGGGGAGGACUAAAUCUGGGACCAAGCUCAGAUCCUUAGCAUCAAUCCCUUGAUAAUGAUCCGCGCUCUCUAUGGCUUUGAAUUUCUCUUCAAGCCAUCUACAUCGUUCUUCUAAUUGUUUUUGCGAAUCCAUCCUCGCAUUUUCCUCUUCAGCCACUUCAUCCAAGUCGGGAAUGGGCAGAUAGUUCGGGUUGUUGACAAAGUUAGAGCCUGAGCCAAUUUGGAAGUUCAUCGGAAUUGAAGCUCCAGCCUGAACUUGCUGGGGCAUGAUUGUGACCGAUGGUUUUUGUAGGUUAAUCUCAGGCUUCAUCGGUAUAUGUAUCAGAGUAAAGCCAAUGGGUAUUAGAGAUCUUCAUUGGUUUCCUCAACUUGGUCCAUGGGGCCCUUUCCCUUAUCCAUUCCUCCCAGCAGUAAUUUGGAUAACUGGGACAUCAUCUCUCUCUGAGACUCCAUCAUUUGCUCCUUCAUCUCUUGUUGAAUUUUGGCUAACUGCUCUUCCAUCUGGGACUGCAUUUGUUCUUGCAUGUCGUUUUACAUUUGCUCUAAUUUCUCGAGUCUCUUAUCCAUUAAUUUUUUUCUCGUACUGUAGGGAUGCGUGGUUGGUUGGUUUUCGUUGGUUUCCAGGUUACUGAAAUAAUUUUUAAUUAAUUAAUUAGAAAACUAUUAUGGCCUUUAAUGCAUGAUGAUAUGAUGUAAUGCAAAUGUAUGAAUGCAAAGGAGGCAUCAAUUUUGAUUCAAUUGCCCUUAGAAAAUUUCACUUUGAAAAUAAAAUCUUUUACAUAAGGUCGAGUUAUAGAUAAAAUCUCGCUCUAACACUCAAAAUCCUAAUUUUUCUGAGCAACGAGGCCAGCUCUAGUCCGCGGUCUGACUUUAAUUCAUACUUCACGCUCAAUGUGUCCGCCUGAACCGCUAAAGUUUGCAAGUAGUCCACUACUUCCCGAAUCUGGGUUAUGGCUUCCCCCAUAAGGUGAUCUCUGUUUCUGACUUUGUCUUGCACAUGAUGAAGCUGCUCUUUCCAACGAUCCUCGUUUGCCUCGAAAAACUGGAUCCGCAUCUCGCAGUUUUGUAGUGACGCCUCUAAAUCUUUUAUCCUUCCUUUCAUUUCUUCUAUCUUGCUCAAGCUUGCCCUCAAUUUUAUUGCGGUGUUACGGUUUCGGUACUGAUGCAGAGACUUCUCGAGUUCAGCCACUCUAGCCCUUAAUUCCCCUCGCUCAUUUCUACUUUCCGACAGACUCUUCUCCAAAUCUUCGUUUCGUGAUUGAGCUUCUCGAAAUUUUUUUCCCCACCGAUCGGUAUUUGUUUUUUCUUCUCGAAUUUCGUAGAACCAUUGUUCGGAAGUCUUACCUAAAUCCACAGUCCUUAUAGAUAGGCGCAACUUCUUGUAGUCUGUCUUUAAGCUGUCCAGGUCUUCUUCGGCCUUAGUUUUUCCUUUUCUCCAUUUAUCAACUUCUGACCUCUGAACAUCAGCAUCUAUCCUUAGAUGCAUCUUCUCUUCCUCUAAUUGUUCGAUCUUCUUCCCGAGCUCCGAACUCUUCUUCUCGAAAUCUUGCCUUAUAAUUUCCAAUUCUGAUGGGGCGACUUGUAAUUGUUCCUCGAUAGGUCGAGCAUUCUCCAAGCUUGGCCUAGGAAUAUUAUCAUUAAUCCUCUUCUUAAACCACUUGCUAUACUCGGGCGUUACCAUGGAACCGAUGUCUAACCUCAUCAUCCAACAAGUUUGCUUUCAAGUAUCCGAAAACUCUCGAACUCUCUUCUUAUAAUGAGCACCUUUAAAUGAGAAUUCACUCUGAGCAAGCCCAUAGGUCGUGGGUACAAACUGCCUUGACUUAUAUUGCCUCAAGGCUAACAGUAGAGUAUACCCGGUAGCUCCCCAAAUUCCUAACAGUGGCACCCAAUCAAAGCUACCACAUCGGUACAUGAUCUCGUCAGGAACCAUCCAAUAAGCUCUCCACUUGAUAUCCCCCUCCUUGAGGUUCUGAAGAAUGUCCAUCCACUUCUCCUCAAAGAUAUUCUCUCUCCUCUGUAUAGCUGCCUCUUCCUUCAACGGGGAAUAACCCUCGGAGAAAACUCGAUAGGAAACUUUAUCUACCUUCCAAAAGUGCCCGUGGAACCAUGCCAUCAAUAAUUACGCACAUAUGAAUCGCCCCUCGCCUGUCUUCCGACAUGAGCUCAAAGAUCUGAACAUUUCUGCCAAUAUUACCGGUACCGGUGUGAUUCCCUUUUCAAGGCGAUCAAACAAGUCAAUGACCGCCUCGUCCACGUGCCUCAAAGCCUUAGGAAAGAUCACUAAUCCGUAGAUGCUUAAGGCAAAUAUAUCAACCCUCUUUCUUUUAUCUGGAUGUGUCAAGAUCAAAUCUCGCAAAUUCUCCCAAGGGAUACAUUUGCUAUCUCCUUUUUACUGAAUCCGAGCAGUGACCCAAGGCUCGCUCAUCCCAGAAAUGCUAAUCAGUUUCUUCACGAAAGUUUGACUACUAAAAACUCGAGCAUAAGUCUUCCGGACCUGAAUUUUGGGACACUUGAGCAAAGUAGUGUAUUCCUCCAUGGUAGGUACCAAAUCCACUUCUCCAAAAGUGAAACACUUGUAUGCAGAAUUCCAAAACUGCACCAAGACUCGGAACAAAUGCUUAUCCACUCUAAUAUCUAGCAGGUAGGAUACGUCACCAUAAUUUUGGUCAAACAAUUACUUGAUUCCUUUAUUCCAACUAGCCCAAAUGUCUCUCAACUCUUGCAGCUCGUUCUGUACUACAUUGACGCGAGUGAAAUCUUGCAGCUCCGAUACAUACCCUUCUGCCAAGCUAUCCCCUCUCUCUGAUCGUAGCCUCUCCGACCAUGCACGAACGGCCACAUUAUCCUCGACUUUACUAAGAAAUUCAUUCUCCAUGUCAAAUUUUCUAACUUAGUAAUUGAAUACGAAUUAACGCCUCCUUUAGUAUGUAAUGUUAUGCAAAAAUGACAAAACAAAACAAAAUACCGGUUAGUGUCAAAUAAUAGUGAUAGAAUGCAAGCACAUAAAUGAUAACUAUGACGCAUAUACGGGUAAGUACUAAGGCUCGACGUGGCUUCACCCAAGGAUGGUUCUUAAGGUUCACUAUAUGCGGUUUAGUUUUAGAGAUAAGGUACCCGACCCAGUAGAUUCCUCAAUCCUCACCCAUUAUAAGCUCAGAUAGAUCGAGUUCGGUUCGGGGGGAUAUAUUUCCCUAUGACCAUGCGGAGAUUGAAAUCUCACGAAAUCAUAGGUACGGAUGUACCCCGAAAGUAAUUCACUAGCCCUUGCGGAGGUGAAAACCUCACGAAAGCGUAGUUUCUUACUCCCACUUAGAAGGUGUGACCACAGUGGUCAUGCAAUAAAAUGCAGUGCUAUUUUACAAGACCCGCACUAAGACAAUCACACAAUCAAACGCAAUCGAAAGAUACAUGAUUUUUAAAGUAAAUUUUUGGUUUUCGACAAAAGGACACUAAAUAAUUGAUUUUUAUGGCUCGACUCUCAAGUUCCCCAGUGGAGUCGCCAAGCUGUCGAAACCAUUUUUAUUUAAAUUUUUUUUAAUGAAAAACGGGGGCAUCAACUUUUGAAAAAUAGAAAUAUGGAGUCGCCACCGAUCUUUUUAUUUUGGGGUGAUCGAGUCACCUAAGAAUUUGGUUAUUUUAAUGAAACAUUUUUGAUUUACUAAAACAACGAUGCUGGUCUACGAAAAUUAUGAGAAAACGGGCUUGAGAGUCGGUUACGUAUGAGGAAGGAUUAGCACACUCAUAACGCCCAAAAUUGGUACCAAAUCGAUUAGAUACUGUCCUUAUGUCUAAAAUUAAAAAUGUUUUUGAAUCGUGGUUCUUUUUAAAUAACAUUUGAAUAACCCGAGUUGAUUGCCAAAAAUCUUCUUGUUUCGACGUCCGAAAGUUUAUAAUUUGAAAUUAACAGAAGGAUGCCCAACUAUUUGGUCCAACGAAAAACUGAAACCCCAGCACAAUGGGGCACGAUUCCUCGAAUUUCCAAACAUCGAACAUUGCCUCACCUUAGAAAAUAUGAGUGAAAUUCUGAAGGGAUAUUAGAUUGUUUUGAACGAAUGAAAAAGCGCAACCCAGUACAAUAGGGCUCGAUUCUCAGGUCCCCAGACAUCGAACAUCGCCUUCGUUUUGAAAGGUUUUUAAUAAACAUGAACGAAAGCCUAAGGGAAUAUUCGAUUGUUUUGAACAAACGAGAAAUCACAAUCCAACACGAUAGGGCAUGAUUCUCGGAUUGUCAAACACCGAGUAUUAUCUUUGUUUUAAUGGAUUUUUAAAAGACCUGAGUGAAAUUUUAAAGGAAUAAUUGAUCAUUUUAAACAAACGGGAAAUUGCAACCCAACACGUUAGGGCACAAUUCCACGAGUUUCCAAAUAUCGCAUACCGCCUUCGUUUAAGGGAUUUUUAAAAGAUAUGAGUGAUAUUUUGAAGUGAUAUUCGAUUAUUUUGAGCAAACACGAAAUUGCAACCCAACACGUUAGGGAACGAUUCCGCGAAUUGCCAAAUAUCAAAUCUCGCCUUCAUUUUAAAAAAAAUUUGAAUGAAUGAUUAUAAAGCUAGCUUAAGACGUAUUAAUUCGAUUUGAAAUAAGAUGAAAUUAAUCAUAAAAUUUGGGUUUUAUAGAACCACAUUUCACAAACCAAGUGGAAAAUAAUGAUAUGCGAUAAUAGGCACAUAGGAGAUACAAUCAAUUAACAAACUAAUAAUUAAAUAUAGCUAUCCUAAAAAUGCAACCCAAUUACAAUAAUACAUGGAGAAUAGUUGAUAUAAUAAUACCAUGACGAAAAUGAUAACAUAACAAUCACACAAGCAAAAUAAUGCAUACAAUAAUAUGCCCCAAUAAUGUACAUACCAUGAUAUAGAGUAACCAAUGCAAGAUAUAAAAACAACAUAGCAGUUAGAAGCCAAUGUGCUAUAAAACGGUUUUAAAAUAAUAAUGAAUAAAUGGAUUCAUAUAUAGGUUGACAAAUUUGUAUGAAAACUAGGGAUAGCUAUAGGAUUUUCGGAAUAGAUAUUAUAGAAUAAAAAUUUGAAUCAAAUUGCGUGUAAAAUAUUUUAGACACAAGUGCAUUUAAAAUUUGACAAUGCACAUGAUAAUUUAAAUAAUGUAUAUAAUAUGAAAGGAUAAUAGAGAUAUAUGACAAGAUAUAAUGCACUAAAUAGAUUCACAAAAUAUAUAUGCAUAAAUAACUAAAAUAAUAAUAAUAAUAAUAAUUUGUAAAAACAUAGAAAUACCUACAAGCUUAAAUUAAUUUUAUAACAAAUUGUAUAAUGGAUUUAAAAACAUGCUUAUAUAUAUAAAGAAGACUAUAUGCAUGACAGAAUAACAAAUAAAAUAAUAUAUAUAAAAUAGUCUUAAAUAACAAGGAAAUAAUAAAACAUAUUUUCCAAAGAAUAAACUAUAUAUAUAAUAAAUUUGAAAGGAAAUACAAAUAAAUAGAUUAAAUAUAUAUAUAUGUGAAAUAACAUGGAACUAAUAAUGUGUAUAAAGUAAACCUAAUUUUGUCAUAACUCAUAUAUGUAUUAAUAUAAGAUUAAUUUAAAUUAAAUAUUAUACAAAGUUUUAGAAACAAUAUGAUAUACAAGGUAAUUUUAAAAUAAUAGCUUUAUAAUUAAAUAAUAACAAAUCAUUAAAGUAAUUUAAAAAUAUAAAAAAAAGGAUGAAUGCCAAACGAAAAGAAAAGAAAAAGAAUGAACUAUGCCAAAAAUAAAAAACUUAAUUGAGAUAAAAGCAAAUUAAAAGAGAUAAUUAACAAAUAGAAUAAACCGUUGAAAGGACCAAAGCGUAAGGCGCUCAAAUGGCCAAGGAUUAAAAAUGAAAAUAGUCCCAAUUCCAAAAUGAAACGCUUAACCGCUGACUAAAUUGGAGUGGCGCGCAAAGUUCUGGGCAAAGAUGAAAGACAUGGGAUAGGAUUAAAUUAAAAGUGGUACAAAUGGGAGGGACUGUCCGCAUAAAUUACUCCUUUUAGAUGGAAAUGUGCAAUUCCAGCUAAUGAGCAGGUCAACACGCGGUUUCUAACUUCUUAAUUGCACCACUUUAAAAUUAAUAGCUUUUAUUAUACAUUUAUAUUUUAAAAGCUUACAAAACCAUUUUCUUAAGCACAGACCUCCCAAAUUCCUAACCCUCAACUAGGUUUCAGUCCAUAAACUUACAGCAGUCGAACCACCACCAGAUUCGGUGGCCGACAGCACCGACGACGGCCUGAACCUACCAACGGUGGAGAACUUUUCAGCCUUGAGAUCUCUUUUCAACUUCGAUUUCAACGAAGCGAGAGGAACCUUUGGCAUAUCUGUAAGAUAAGGCUCUCCUCGCUUUUUCUUUAAACAAAAUUGAUUUUGAUUUCUUUAUAUUUGAUUCGCCCUCUCUUUUAUUCGUUUUUCAUGCGAUAGAUCAAUCAAAAAAACAUAAACUAAAUCGGAAGAAAAAAACGAGAAUCACCUUGUGGAGACUUUUUUUUUAGAAAAGCUUUUUUGUAUUGAUUUUCCUUUUGUGUUUGUGUUCGCUCUUUUUUAUUGCCUGUUGUGUAUUUGUGAAAAAAAAUGCUCUCCUCUUCUUUUUUUUUUUACAAAGAUUAAAAGCUGGGCUUUUAUAGCCGAAAAAGGAAAUAAACCGAAAAAAUACAAUAUACUUGUUUCCAUUCGCUACUGUUUUUGUUUCCUUCUUGCAGGUACAGAAUCUGUUGGCAUGCGUACGGGGUGCAGGCGUGGCGUACGAGGGCUGUGGAGGUAUGGGACUGCUGUAGUGGAGGUAUGGGGCUAUUUCUUGGUUGUGGCGUAAAACGAAAAGGGGGGGACCUAAGGUUUCUGGAGCUGUUAAGGGAAUGGGCCUAUUGGGCGUGUUUCGAUUUGGGCUCAUAAUGGGUAUCGGGCUAGGGUUAAUGUAUUUGGGCUGCUUUGUACCAAAGACCUGGACUGUGGUAUACAUAUUUUUUUUUGUGAUUUUUUUUUAUAUUUUUGUUUUGUUUCUUGUCUUUAUACGGGCCGGGCAAAUUUGGCCCAUUACAUAUAACAAAAAAAUUAUUAAAGAUGGAAAGAAAUAACUUAAGAUUUUGUGCUAAUAAAUGUUAAACAAUUUAUACUAAUAAAUACUAAAUCUUCUAGAAAAAAUAUAUCCUGUA